GAACUCCAGGGAUCCUUGCCAUUGACAGCUCAGCAAAGCAGCUGCAUGUGGCUUCUGGACUCUGCCCCUCACCCUUCCAGAGAAGCACAUGGGCCAGGAUAGGCAAGGAUCACAGGAGCCACCCACAGAGCAGCUCAGGCAGCAGGGAGGAAACAAGACAUGAGGGUUCUGCCAGUGAUGCACCUGCUUGAAGGGCCUGCAGCUCAUGGAAAGGCAGCACCUUCCCCGCUCUGCAAGAAUCCCCCCCAAACCUCCUGACUUGGCUUGGCACCAGGGGACAGUGGUUGAUCCUUUCCUGAAACACACUGGCCUCUAUGAGCUCGAUACUGAAAAUAAGAGUCAUUAUUUCUUAAGUGUAGAAGAGGUACAAGAGGGGUGCUCUGGAUGCAACAUGAAUUCUUUUCAGUCAGGCUGAUAGUGCUGGGCAUGCCAGGCAGAAAGAAAGUAAAUGAAAACCAUCACUCCUCCCCACCCCCAAGCCACACACAGUAAAAGCCAAACCCCAGAUCUUCAAGAGCUCUCACUAGCACUCCCUUGAAGCUGUUCCUCCACCACUCAGUCUGCCCACAACACACUGAAUGACCUUCCUAAUGGAAAUUAUGGAAAACCACUGAUGUCUAAUGAAAUCCUUAUACUGCAGAAAACUGAUGUUACAGCACUGAAACUUUUCUUCUUAAAAGUACAAACACAUGCUUUGUCUACAGCAUUUGAGACAUUCCUUUCUUUGGUUUAUUGAUACCAGGGUGAUGAGAACACACUACUGCUGUGGUUCCUCAGAGCAGGACCAGAACGGCAUCUCAGAUGACUGAUGAGGAGAACAUCAAGCACAACAGCCCCUUACAGUGCAGUAGGAGAAGUGGCAACAGCAGGCAUGAGCACUGGGAUCAGGCAGAAGGUCAUCAGACAGGCAGGUAUCUGAGCACUUUUGUCCAGUCAAGAAGCCACAGAAGGGCCAGGGAAAUUGCUCUUGGGAGACGGUUACCAAACCAACUUUAUUCUGUCCUACUGGGCUAAAAUUGAGCAUUUAGAUAGCAGGUGUUUCUGGCCCACACAAAGGCUACUUUGCUGAAGGUUCCAAGGGAGGAGAAUAGUAAAGAGAUCUUCCUUCAGCAGUUUUAUUACGUGUAUGUGUUCCUUUCAGCUGGAACAGGCACUUUACUAGAAGCAGAAAAAUUAGAGGUUUUUUUUCUUAACUUUACCUACCCGACCCAAUGCCAGCAUUCAGUGCUUAGAGACCAUCAGACCACAAACAGUGCUGUAAAAACAAAGACUAGUAUUUCAGUUGUAAAAUCAUUUUUUAUUGUUACAAAUAUACAUAUGAAUAAAAUCCCUUCAACCUGUAAUGUAAGUGGGUAG
rnacentral:lncRNA from 1 species